rnacentral:rRNA from 1 species
AUACCGCGUGAGGGAGGAAGGCUCUUGGGUUGUAAACCUCUUUUCUCAAGGAAGAAAAAAAUGACGGUACUUGAGGAAUAAGCAUCGGCUAACUCCGUGCCAGCAGCCGCGGUAAUACGGAGGAUGCAAGCGUUAUCCGGAAUGAUUGGGCGUAAAGCGUCCGCAGGUGGCAAUGUAAGUCUGCUGUUAAAGAGUGAGGCUCAACCUCAUAAGAGCAGUGGAAACUACAUAGCUAGAGUGCGUUCGGGGCAGAGGGAAUUCCUGGUGUAGCGGUGAAAUGCGUAGAGAUCAGGAAGAACACCGGUGGCGAAAGCGCUCUGCUAGGCCGCAACUGACACUGAGGGACGAAAGCUAGGGGAGCG